GCGAGAGCGGUGCCAGAGGGCGCGUGAAGUGGGAUGGCGGAGGGGUUGUCCGGGAUUGGUGGGGGUAAAGGGGUCGUAGGGGUGUUGGGACGUUGAAGGUGAAAGCCCGAGGCGUAACCUGGGGGCGGCAGUCGAUACGGGCUAGCUAGAGGGUGGUAGGGGAGAUCGGAAUUCCUGGUGUAGCGGUGAAAUGCGCAGAUAUCAGGAGGAACACCGGUGGCGAAGGCGGAUCUCUGGGCCAUUACUGACGCUGAGGAGCGAAAGCGUGGGGAGCGAACAGGAUUAGAUACCCUGGUAGUC
rnacentral:rRNA from 1 species